UUUAUUGGUGUUAGCCACCCUGAGCCCAGUUCUGGGCAGGGAGGGCGGGGUAUAAAUAAAAAUUUAUUAUUAUGAGAGUUAUAGUCAUGUAUACUUUGCUUAUCAUUGAACUGUAGAGUCAGAAGGGACCCCAAGGGUCAUCCAAUCCAUCCCCCUGCAGUGCAGGAAUCAUUUGCGCAACAUGGGACUCAAACCCACGACCCUGAGAUUACGAGUCUCAUGCUCUAUCAACUGAGCUGGAGUCUGGUUCAACAUUUUAGGCCUUUGUAGUGCAAUCCUUUACACAUCGACUCAGAGGUUCUUUUAAGUUCAAUGCCUUUUAUUCCCAGGUAAAUGGGUAGAGAUCCCCGCAGCCUUACAGCAAAGGCUCCUCAGAUUGUUGGAAUUCUUUUUAAAAAAACAGUGUAAAAUAUUUUGUGCUUCUUUGUUUUUACCACCUGCGGGGUUGAUUUAGGCAAAAAAGGCCUUGUGAUCUUCGGAUGGGCAACAAUUCUGUUGACCCUGUGUGAGUGGGGGAAUCCAGACACAUAUUAAAAAUGCUGUGAAAAUGCUUUGUAAAAGAAGCAUUUUGAAAAAUGUAUUGAAUUUGCCAUAAGCUCACCAUUGCCAUCUAGUGUCACCUUUGUAUAACGCACUUAAAACGUUGCAUUUGCGACUUCUGUCAUGGACUGCCAUGGCGUGCAGCGGACCCAUGAAAGCGGACUCUGACCAUGCAGUUAAUUAAGGAUAAUAUGAGAGUAAUUAUCCUUGUGACCCCCCCCCCCGGGUCAGGGAGGGCAAGCUUUGACUGGCGGAUUGUCCGUUGACUGUCUCUCGCUCUGACGGAAUGCAGGGGGCAGGGGCCCUGAGUGCUUGGCACUGCAUGAAUCAGAACUCUCCAAUGUGGCCACCGUGAGCGGGAAUACUUCUUUUUUUUUAAGAUAAAAAAUCUGGACUUAAGAAACAGGUGUGUUUUGGAAGACGGAGACAUGAUAACCUGCUAAAUGAAUCAGCCACUGUGUGCCAAGGUUUUGAUCUGGAGAGGACUUUGCCGUAACAGGAUUGUUAGAUACUGAAAGAACCCAGGGAUUACUUCCAGUGUCAACAGAACGUGGCCAGACUGAGAAACAACUCCUUCCUCCUUACCCAGCGGCCUCUCUCUGGUGUCCAGUGAAGUCCUCUCUGCCUCAGAGGGAUCAGGACCCGCUGCUGCCGACUGAUCCUUUUCCUGAAAGAGCAACAAGGAUUUGUAAUAGAGAAUGUGGAAAUGGGUUAGAAAAGGACCCCCCCGGUUCCUGGGGGGUUGCACUUCAGUUCUCAAAAUCCACUCUUAUCCUCCAGCAAAAUUACUUGUACUUUCCAAUCGUGAAAUUAAUAACUUUUAUCCAGUAAAGAAAGAAUAUUCUUUCAACCUUA